rnacentral:rRNA from 1 species
AACGAACGCUGGCGGCAUGCCUAACACAUGCAAGUCGAACGAGACCUUCGGGUCUAGUGGCGCACGGGUGCGUAACGCGUGGGAAUCUACCCUCAGGUUCGAAAUAACUCAGAGAAAUUUGAGCUAAUACCGGAUGAUGACGUAAGUCCAAAGAUUUAUCGCCUGAGGAUGAGCCCGCGUAGGAUUAGGUAGUUGGUGAGGUAAAGGCUCACCAAGCCGACGAUCCUUAGCUGGUCUGAGAGGAUGAUCAGCCACACUGGGACUGAGACACGGCCCAGACUCCUACGGGAGGCAGCAGUGGGGAAUAUUGGACAAUGGGCGAAAGCCUGAUCCAGCAAUGCCGCGUGAGUGAUGAAGGCCUUAGGGUUGUAAAGCUCUUUUACCCGGGAUGAUAAUGACAGUACCGGGAGAAUAAGCUCCGGCUAACUCCGUG